GCGGUAGAAGCAGUGCCGCAGGUCGGGGGAGGGCGGCUGCCGCGGGGCCCCGACGUGCAACGCAGCGAAAUGCGCGGCGAUGAAGCCCGCGUCGGCGCUCAGGUUGAGCUGGAAGAGCUGCCCGUACGCGCUGAGCCGGUAGUGUGUGCGGAGUGCUGCGGGCUCCGAGCUCCUUUUCCUCCUGCUGAAGUGACGCGUGUGGGGAAAAACUUCUCCGAACUCAUUCACCCGGACAGGUGUGACUAUUUCAUAGGAGGACAGCUGCUUCACUAAGGUGAAGACAGGCACUUUGAUGUCAUUACACACCUGCUGGAAGGGAAAGUGGAGAAGCGUGUGCCAGCUACAAGGAAUUGCACCCGGUGUGUUACAACUUCCAUGGAAGUUCUGGAUCUCAGUGUCCCAGGCAGGAGCUGACAGGCUGCUCUGUGCUAACCCAGGGGCAGGAAUCCCGCCCUGCACUUCACCCCGCCUUGGAGCUCUGUCAGCACAGUGCACCUGUUUUAUCAGGGGGGAAAUUUCAGCUUCCCAGGGCAGACAAGUGUAGGUUGCUGCAUACUCAUGGAGUGCAUAACAAAAAACCCUCUAACCUGAGAUUCACAAGUGACCCCCCACAAAUCAUUCAGAAAAAGAAGAAUCACUGUCUUCUGAAGAUAAAGGCAUGUGUACUUCUGCCAACAAUGCAAGCUUUUUUUUUUUUUUUCCAAGUCACAAGAACACUGCAGCUGUUACUUUGGCUCAAGAGAAAGUAUUCCUACAGUAAGGAGACAUAGGGCCCAAUUCAUCUCUCGUAUCAACACUGUUAGUUAUGCUGGGGAUGAUUUGUCUCACAUAGCACUCUCCUAGCUACCCAGCUUUUUUCCAGAGACCCAUUCGGGGCAAUACCCUAAAAUUACUCCAGAAGAGAAUGUAAAUUUAAUAUUGCAAGACACAAAAGCCAGACAUAAAAUGUGAGCAUCAAAUUGCUGAUAGCACGUGAAAUGGUUCCUAAUCACACUAAUUUAAACCUAUGUUUAGCCCAUGUUAUCCUCUACAUCUUACAAAUGUCAGCUUCAGAGGAACUAGACUCCACAAAGCCAGAAGUUUGUAUUGAAGUAGAUGUCCAUAUGAGUGAAGUCACAGAGAAGGAUCUAAGCACAUCUGAACUGGAUUCGCUGUGCUAGUGUGGCUGUUCGUUCAGAUACAUGACUUUUUAACCUUUCUUCACACACUGCUUUUCCUACUUGGAGAUUCACAAGAAAAAUACCAAACUGACUACCAGGACAAAAAAUGGAUGUGUGCUCCAGUGGCAAAGCAACAAGCAGCUGUAUAUGAGGAACUACAGUUGUACCAGGCCUGUACUCACUCAGCAUUCAGAGCUGAAUUACAGGAGCUGGUGCCUGCAAACUUCUCUGCUCUCCAAUGGCCACCAGUGACUGCCCUGGCUCUUCUCCUCUUCCUACACGUAUUGCACUCCAGACCAUCGUUGAGAAAAUGUUACUGUAAAAUAUGCGAUCAUAUUUCUUCAGUGAAGUAAUGUCAUGUGCCAUGUUAUUCCCCUUUUCUAAACAAUAUUUUCAUUUAUAGACUUCAGCAGUUUUUUUCUCCAAACUGCCUUGUAGUUCAUUUAGCAGGAUGGCAUUCGGUACAUAUUCUCACACGUUUUGGAAGUACAACAGAUAUAUGCACACAUACUUCAUUUUCUAAGAAAUGCAGCUUUGUUUUCAGUCAUGACGUUCCCUUCAAUUUCUGUUUCUAGACAACUUUGCUGCUAAAUG